GUUCCACCUGUUCAUGGCGAGGGUUCUGCCUGUUUGCGGUGCGGGUUCCGCCUGUUCAUGGCGAGGGUUCCACCUGUUCAUGGCAAGGGUUCCGCCUGUUGAGGGUGAGGGUUCCGCCUGUUUGCGGCAAGGGUUCCACCUGUUCAUGGCGAGGGUUCUGCCUGUUUGCAGCAAGGGUUCCACCUGUUCAUGGCGAGGGUUCCACCUGUUCGCGGUGAAGGUUCCGCCUGUUUGUGGCAAGGGUUCCGCCUGUUCACAGCAAGGGUUCCGCCUGUUCAUGGCAAGGGUUCUGCCUGUUUGCGGUGCGGGUUCCGCCUGUUCAUGGCGAGGGUUCCACCUGUUCAUGGCGAGGGUUCCGCCUGUUCAUGGCGAGGGUUCCGCCUGUUGAGGGUGAGCGCGGUGCAGGAGCUGCGCUGCUCCAAACCCUCCAACAGAAUCCCCCCCGUCCCCCAAUCCCAGACCCAUAGGGGGCGGAAGGGACCUCUGGGUCCCCCCCGAGUCACCCCCAUCCCACAGCAGGACCCCACAGCGCUGUGCCCGCGGUCACAUGCAGGUGGGUGUCAGCAUCUCCGUGGGGGGGAGACCCCACCGCUGCUCUGGGUGGCGUGGUCUGUUGGGAACCUGUUGGGAACCCAUUGGGAACCCACUGGGGAACCCAUUGGGAGCCCAUUGGGGACUCAUUGGGGAACCCGUUGGGAACCCAUUGGGGAAGCCAUUGGAGAACCCAUUGGGAACUCAUUGGGGAACCCAUUGGAGAACCCAUUGGGGAACCCACUGGAGAACCCAUUUGGAACUAAUUGGGGAACCCGUUGGGAACUCGUUGAGAAGCCAAUGGGGAACCUGAUGGGAAAUCUGUUGGGAACCCAUUGGAAAACCAUUGGGAACCCAUUGGGAACUCACUGGGGAACCCGUUGGGAACCCAUUGGGGAACCCAUUCGGGAACCCAUUGGAAACUCAUUGGGAACCCAUUGGAAGUGGCCCCAAACCCACUGUGGCACACACCCACUUCCCACCAGGGACUGGUGGCCGUGCACAGAUGUCCCCUUUGUCCCAACAUGGGGACAGGACCCCCAGCCGGGCCGUGUCCCCGAGCAGAACCCCCAAAUCCCACCAUCACAGAACUAUGGGGGGCUCCAGAGGUCCCUCCAACCCCCAAGUCACCCCCAAACCUACAGCAGUUCCCCACAGCGCAGUGCCCGGGGGUCUCAUCCAGGCGGGAUUUAAUGUUUCCAUGGAAGGAGACCCCAGCACCGCCCUGGGCAGCGUGUUCCAUGGGGAGCCCAUUGGGAACCCAGUGAGAACCCACUAGAAAUCCAUUGGGAAACCCUUUGGGAAACUCAUUGGGAACUCGUUGGCUAUGGAUUGGGGAACCCAUUGGGAACCCCGUUGGGAACCCAUUGGGAAUCCAUUGGGGACUCACUGGGGACUCAUUGGGAUCCCAUUGGGAACCCCGUUGGGAACCCAUUGGGAAUCCAUUGGGGACUCAUUGGCUAUGGAUUGGGGAACCCAUUGGGAACCCCGUUGGGAACCCAUUGGGAAUCCAUUGGGGACUCA
ensembl:lncRNA